ACUCAAAUGAAUUGACGGGGACCCGCACAAGCGGUGGAGCAUGUGGUUUAAUUCGAUGCAACGCGAAGAACCUUACCUACCCUUGACAUCCUGCGAAUCUUAUAGAGAUAUAGGAGUGCCGAAAGGAGCGCAGAGACAGGUGCUGCAUGGCUGUCGUCAGCUCGUGUCGUGAGAUGUUGGGUUAAGUCCCGUAACGAGCGCAACCCUUGUCCUUAGUUGCCAGCACGUAAAGGUGGGAACUUUAAGGAGACUGCCGGUGAUAAACCGGAGGAAGGUGGGGAUGAGGUCAAGUCAUCAUGGCCUUUAUGGGUAGGGCUACACACGUGCUACAAUGGUCAGUACAAAGGGAAGCGAACCUGCGAAGGGGAGCGAAGCUCAAAAAACUGAUCUUAGUCCGGAUUGGAGUCUGCAACUCGACUCCAUGAAGCUGGAAUCGCUAGUAAUCGCGGAUCAGAACGCCGCGGUGAAUACGUUCCCGGGUCUUGCACACACCGCCCGU
rnacentral:rRNA from 1 species